rnacentral:lncRNA from 1 species
UAGGAGAGAGAUGGAGGGAAGUUCCACAAUGACUGCAGAGUCUAGAAAAUGAUCCUCCUGUAAAGGAGUAAGAGGAAGUGGGGCUCCAAGAAAGAGAAUGUGUGCCUCUAGAGCUUACGUCUUAGCUGUGACCACACCUGCAUGAGACAUCUUUGUAUCCUCCAUAGCACCUUGCACGUGUCUUCUGAAUUCUAUUAGAUGUGGAAGAAAAUAUUUAUUUUUGUGUAUAUGCUUGGAUGAUUUGGAGGUACGAGAAGUAAACAGCAUACAAAGCUGCAUCCAGCUAGAUUUAAAAAAUGAAGUCAUCAUUAGGAUAUUCACUGAGCACUGAUGCAUACUAUGCCAGACACUGUGGCUACAACACUGAAUAAGUCCUAGGUGUUAAAUUAAGAAAGUUCUGCGAGAAAUUGGCUUCCUGGUGUGAAAUGCAAGAGUUGAAGAUCAAAGAUACUUGUGAAAUCUAGACCUUAUUUUAUUCAUGGAUUCCUAAUGAAUAAAUAAAGCAAGCACAACUAUUUACUUAAACAAUCUGAGACCUAGCUUGACUGUUUAAUGUAUAAACAGAAGGUUGAUUGUCCUUUCUUGAGAUGCAGCAACAUUUUGGGAAAAGCCACAAAGUGCACUGUCAAAAGCUGCAUGUGAAAACACAUGGAUUA